UGCGUAGGCGGACUAAUAAGUCAGUGGUGAAAUCUUUCGGCUCAACCGAGAAACUGCCAUUGAUACUGUUAGUCUUGAGUUCGGUUGAGGUAGGCGGAAUGUGUAAUGUAGCGGUGAAAUGCUUAGAUAUUACACAGAACACCAAUUGCGUAGGCAGCUUACUAGACCGACACUGACGCUGAGGCACGAAAGCUAGGGGAGCAAACAGGAUUAGAUACCCUGGUAGUCC
rnacentral:rRNA from 1 species